CGCCUUUGUGUUGCCCGUUCACCUUCGGUCACUAGUGAAUGUGGUGUCAAAAAAGGCAUAAAGUGACGCUUUGCAGCCUUUUCCCUACCCUGGAGUUCGGUGUCUUGGGUGUGGAGGCUGCGUAAGUGACAAAG
ensembl:snoRNA Gm23639 predicted gene, 23639